rnacentral:rRNA from 1 species
AUUGAACGCUGGCGGCAUGCCUUACACAUGCAAGUCGAAUGGCAGCACGGGUGCUUGCACCUGGUGGCGAGUGGCGAACGGGUGAGUAAUACAUCGGAACAUGUCCUGUAGUGGGGGAUAGCCCGGCGAAAGCCGGAUUAAUACCGCAUACGAUCUACGGAUGAAAGCGGGGGACCUUCGGGCCUCGCGCUAUAGGGUUGGCCGAUGGCUGAUUAGCUAGUUGGUGGGGUAAAGGCCUACCAAGGCGACGAUCAGUAGCUGGUCUGAGAGGACGACCAGCCACACUGGGACUGAGACACGGCCCAGACUCCUACGGGAGGCAGCAGUGGGGAAUUUUGGACAAUGGGCGAAAGCCUGAUCCAGCAAUGCCGCGUGUGUGAAGAAGGCCUUCGGGUUGUAAAGCACUUUUGUCCGGAAAGAAAUCCUUGGCCCUAAUACGGUCGGGGGAUGACGGUACCGGAAGAAUAAGCACCGGCUAACUACGU